rnacentral:rRNA from 1 species
UGGGGAAUAUUGGGCAAUGGAGGCAACUCUGACCCAGCAACGCCGCGUGAGCGAUGAAGGUCUUCGGAUUGUAAAGCUCUUUAAGUGGGGACGAAGAAAGUGACUGUACCCACAGAAUAAGCCUCGGCUAACUACGUGCCAGCAGCCGCGGUAAUACGUAGGAGGCAAGCGUUAUCCGGAAUGACUGGGCGUAAAGGGUGCGUAGGUGGUUUGGCAAGUUGGUAGCGUAAUUCCGGGGCUCAACUUCGGAACUACUACCAAAACUGCUGGGCUUGAGUGCAGGAGGGGUGAACGGAAUUCCUAGUGUAGCGGUGGAAUGCGUAGAUAUUAGGAGGAACACCAGCGGCGAAGGCGGUUCACUGGACUGUAACUGACACUGAGGCACGAAAGCGUGGGGAGC